AUGUCUUUCAUCUUUGAGUGGAUCAAAGCAGCAUGCUCCAGUUACUAGGACUCUACAAAAAAAUCUGGAAAACUUGUUUUAUUGGGUUUGGACAAUGCAGGCAAAACCACUCUUCUUCACAUGCUCAAAAAUGACAGAUUGGGCCAACACAUUCCAACACUGCAUCCGACAUCAGAAGAGCUGACAAUUGCUGGAAUGACUUUUACAAUUUUCGAUCUUGGUGAGCAUGAGCAAGCAUGUUGGGUUUGGAAAAAUUAUCUCUCAGUAAUUAAUGGGAUUGUCUUCCUGGUGGAUUGUGCAGAUCAUUCUUGCCUCAUGGAAUCCAAAGUUGAGCUUAAUGCUUUAAUGACUGAUAAAACAAUAUCCAAUGUGCCAAUCCUUAUCUUGGGAAACAAAAUUGACAGAACAGAUGCAAUCAUUGAAGAAAAACUCGGUGAGAUUUUUGGGCUUUAUGGACAGACCACAGGAAAGGGGAAUGUGACUCUAAAGGAGCUGAAUGCCCACCCCAAGGAAGUGUUCAUGUGCAGUGUGCUCAAGAGGCAAGGCUAUGGCGAGGGUUUCUGUUGGCUCUCCCAGUAUAUUGACUGAUGUUUGGACAGUGAAAAUAAAAGAGUUUUACUUC